AUUCUCCCUCGUUCUUAUCUCUCUGAACCAUCACCGCCGCUUCGGCACGCCCACGGCGGCGGCUGCGGCGGUUCCCUCCCUGAAACCUAAUCAAGAUCCACCAUUUGAUUCUUCUCGACAUCCUAUUUCUAAAUCCACGACCAUCUUUCCUCAAUUUCAAACCACCUUUUCUAAAUCUAACAAAAUCUCCCGAACCCUAAGUUCAACCAAAGUGAAAUUAAAUUGCCAAGGUAGCGAAUCGAAUCACGAGACCUUAGGGUAAAUAUCCAGGAAGAUUUGAACUACAUCACGAUGAGAAGAAUCACGCAAGAAAGAAAGAGGAAAUAAAAAGCGACGCUUACCUACCGAAGUAGCUCCGGCGGCUCUUCAACGGCGUGGAUUUGGCGAAAUAAACGCGAGGAUAUACUUCAAUCUCAGGUUGGAGUUACAAUGUGAAUAUGAACCCCUUCUUGUAUAUCCGCUUAUGGUUUCGACACCAACCUGGUAUGGAAUUAAUUUACUGAUGAUAAAAACAGAAUCCCUACUGCCUGGACAGUAUCAAUGCUUCAGUGUGAUUGUUUGAUUGCAGGAUUUUUCAGGAUCGUGUAUGGAAAUGUUAGGGUGUAAGGAUGACUCUAAGGUGUGAGGCUCGGAUAUGUUCGUAUGGUGUAUCGAAUGAGGUGCAGUAAGCUGGUGUAGCAGGUUUGGCAAGUAUUUCGGGGUUAACAUGUAUGUGAACUGAAUAUGAGAUGGUGAUGUCUGGACUCAAUUACAGUUAGGCUGGAUUUUCUGUUAUGGCUUCCCCAUUCAAUAUUCCAAUUUUCUCCCAAUUCAAAUUUCUCCUCCUGAACAAAUGCAGGGCUGAGGUGAUUGUUUUGCAAUAGGUGGAGAAGGAUGUUGAACAUGAAGCAUGUGGUUUUAUGGAUUGGAAUGUGUGGAACGGUUUGGUUCAUGAUCGGGCUUCCUUUCUUGUGGUUCAUAACUCUGUUAUUUUUGAAUCUUGUGAGUUAACCUUGGUUUUAUGCUGCAAUUCUAAUUAUGCAGGGUGUUUAAAGUGGCAGCUUAUGGCAUGGGAUUAUAUGGACUUGUACUUUUGAAGGGUUGAAUAUUGUAGAGUUGUGGAUUAAUUUGAAAGUCUUGAAGGGUGUGAAGUAGGAUUAGGGACAAUAUUUUUUUGAUGUAAUUCUUUUGUAGUUUAACUUUUUGUAAUGGAUAUCGAAUAA